UAUAAAUAUCAAAUGACAAUUUGAAAGUAUAAAACAAAUAACACAUUUAUCAUCUAUGAUUAUAAUCUCUAACCCUGACUCUUCCACUAACACCAGUUAUAGUAAUUCUAGACUAGGAAUUUAGGUUAAUCCAGACCAGGAGCCUCCAAAGCUCCAAGCAAAUAUUAUUUGUUUAACUCCUAAAAAAGGGACUGACUGCAAGAUUUUAUCUCACAUCAAAUCAAUUACUUUAAUUAAGCUAAACCUUUCCUAGACUGAUGGGCUUCAACCUAUGAAAUGCUAGUUAACAGCUAACUGCUUCUUUGAAUUUGAAAUUCAAUAUGUGUUACACCACAAGACUUGGUAAAAAGAGAGUUCAACUUCUGUCUUUAGAUUUACAAUCUAAUGCUUGCUCAGCCAUUUUA